rnacentral:rRNA from 1 species
UGGCGGACGGGUGAGUAACACGUGAGCAACCUGCCUUUCAGUGGGGGACAACAGUUGGAAACGACUGCUAAUACCGCAUAACGUGCUUGGGGGGCAUCCCCCGAGUACCAAAGAUUUAUCGCUGAAAGAUGGGCUCGCGUCUGAUUAGAUAGUUGGUGAGGUAACGGCCCACCAAGUCGACGAUCAGUAGCCGGACUGAGAGGUUGAACGGCCACAUUGGGACUGAGACACGGCCCAGACUCCUACGGAAGGCAGCAG